CAGGGGCUGCUAUUUUCCAGUCGCACUCAGAUGUCUGAUUGUCAGCUUUUAUGUCUCUGAAAGUACUCCUCGCAAUUCAGGUGGAUUCUUUACCACUGAGCCACCUGGGGAGCCCAAGGAGAGAGACAAUUAUGAAUAGACCCAUUCUCCCAUGCUGAAAACAGUUCUCGAGGAGCUUGGUAACAUGCCUUCAACCACAUGACUGGUCACCUCUUCUGCCCUAUGUUCUGCUGUACGGACAGAGAGGCAGAGAAGCUGGCCCUUCCAGAGGUAGAGAAGAUUGAAGAAGGUACAGGGACAAGAGAUCAAGAAUGAUUAAAGACUUUUGAAUCUCAAUUUAUGGUUUUAGCCUUGCCCGAAGUCUUGCUUAUUUCCUGGGUUGAAAUGCAUCCCUGUUUCCUUAAUAAACACUUAAUUUUUGGUUA